rnacentral:rRNA from 1 species
GAGUUUGAUCGUGGCUCAGAUUGAACGCUGGCGGCAUGCUUUACACAUGCAAGUCGAGCGGCAGCGCGGGGCAACCUGGCGGCGAGCGGCGAACGGGUGAGUAAUGCAUCGGAACGUAUCCCGUAGUGGGGGACGAACCCAGCGAAAGACUGGGCGUAAUACCGCAUAUGCUCUACGGAGGAAAGUAGGGGGACCGUGAGAGGGCCGUCACGCUAUGGGAGCGGCCGAUGUCCGAUUAGCUGGUUGGUGGGGUAACGGGCUUACCAAGGCGACGAUCGGUAGCUGGUCUGAGAGGAUGAUCAGCCACACUGGGACUGAGACACGGCCCAGACUCCUACGGGAGGCAGCAGUGGGGAAUUUUGGACAAUGGGGGCGAACCCUGAUCCAGCCAUGCCGCGUGCGGGAAGAAGGCCUUCGG